rnacentral:rRNA from 1 species
UACGUAGGGUGCAGGCGUUAAUCGGAAUUACUGGGCGUAAAGCGUGCGCAGGCGGUCUUGCAAGACAGAUGUGAAAUCCCCGGGCUUAACCUGGGAACUGCAUUUGUGACUGCAAGGCUGGAGUGCGGCAGAGGGGGGCGGAAUUCCCAGUGUAGCGGUGAAAUGCGUAGAUAUUGGGAGGAACACCAGUGGCGAAGGCGGUCCCCUGGGCCGGAACUGACGCUGAGGCGCGAAAGCGUGGGUAGCAAACGGG